UUCAAACCUUACCAGAGACGUUCGAACCCUAAAUGAAAUGCAUGAACCCUAGAAUUCCAAAGCUUUGGAGUCUAUUCAAAUCGAUGGGAGGUUGAGGUCUAAUUGACCUUAAUCUAGGUGUUCUCACUUAAGAACACCGCGAUUAAGGUCCGUUCGACUUAAAAUGGUCGAGUUCGUGGAGACCUUCUUGUCGUUUGUUCUUGAGCUUUAAGAGAUAAGUACUUCUUGUCAUUCUUUCCUUAUUUACGUAUAUCUUUGUUGUUAGCAUGACUGGUCUGAUUUGUUUGAUUCUUCUAUUAUUUUCUUCUUUCAAUUUUGUUCAUAUCCAUAGACCCUUUAGUUUGGUCCUUUUCUUCUUUUCAUUUUUUUGUUAUUUGAUGUUAUUGUUAGUUAUGUGUUUAGUCGUAGAAUAAUUUAGUUCAUUCUUAUGUUCCCUGAUAAACCACUGAAAUCCCGAACAUGCCUGUUACACCAUAUUAAUUGAUUGUUUUGCUAUCUGAUAUAGUUCAUAUAAUCGUUUAAUUAUAGGUCGUCAACUGAAUUCACUUGAAAACUGAAAGAAUUUAGAAGAACAUGAAUAGUAGCUUCUAGUGCUAAAUUUCCAGUAUGCUUUCUCUUGAGCAUAUGCCUCUAUUCAUUAAUUUGCUAAGCCGAUUCUUAUUUGUGUGUUAUUUUGUGUUUGUUUACAUAUUAGUUUAGUCCAUUUGAUUUUUCUAUCAUUCUUCUUUCAAUUCUGUCCAUCUUCAGUAGACCUUUUAUUUGGUUGAUUUUUUUUGCUCGUUCGAUGAUUUGUGUGUUUAUCAUCCAGUAAUUAGUUCAUAUUUGGUCGACUGUUUUACCCCAAAUCCAGGAAUCGACAUGUUUGUAUAUCCUCUGUUUGUUGUUUAUGUGGUUGAUUAAAGUUAACUGCAAUCACCUUGUUAGUGUGUUUUAAUUCUGUUGGUCUGUUGUUAAUUGCAUCUAUGUUAUAAACUAUAUAAUCGUCUAAAUAAAGUUAUUAGUUAGUCUUUCAUGGUUGAAUGAUAAAAUUACUUGAUAAUAGGCUAUUAUUGUUCAAGUUCAGUAGUUUUGCUUAGACUGUUUCUUUUCUAAUGUUGUAAUUGGAUUGAGCCUGUUGGUACCCAAGUUGAGAAACUGAGCUUAUUAGUUUCAAUUCAUUUUUGUUCAGUAGUAGAUGGUUUUGUGUUUAUAUGUUAAUUAUACAUUCAGUUCUUUGAUUUUGUUAUUAAAGAUUGGCUUUAGCUGUUAAUUAGAGGAUAAUUUCAGAAAACUAGAGGUAUAGUUUGUCUUCUGAUGUUCAGAAUCAGAACAGUGGCAGCUAGUAGGAACCAGGGGUGUUUUAGGAAUAGAAAAUAAGGAAAUUUAGUUUGACUGUUUGGUCUAUCCUGUAGGGCCUUAACAACUUUAAUUUGAACUAGCGGGAUUAAGGGGCCACUAAGUAAUAAGUAGGGCACUAAUGAGGACAUUUCUAAGUGGGAUGUGAAAGUUAAUAGACAACUAUUAGUCGAAGAAUACUUUUGUUUUAAAUGGACAAAUUCAGGUAUGAUUACCUAUCCACAAAGGCCAAAAAUCCGAAAAAGGAAAAUGUGAUUGAGAGGAGAGAAUGGAAUAAAAAGGGAAUUUUCUUUGAAAGAAAGGGGUCAGUCGGAGAGCAUUUUUCUGAGGUUUCUUUGAAUCCGGAGAGAGAUUAAGGCUGAUCUUUAUUUAAAACUUAAGCUGGCUUGCUUUUCUUGGAGUGUUCAAAAUCAGAAGCAUUGCUUCUCUUGUAUCUGGUCCUCUUGUUUUGGUUUUGAGUGCAUAUAGUAUUACUAGAGUUCAUUUGGUAUUGCUAUUUAGCUCCCUGAAGUUGCUUGUGGUUAUUCUUGAGUGUGUUACUGAUUAUCCAUAUGCUAGCAGACCAUCUCUUUUGGGUUUGAGUACUGGUUCACCUCUAUUUGCUUUCUGGUAUUAUUGACAUACACUUGGUGUUGUUGUUUGGACUUUCUGGAAUUGCUGUUGGUUUCUUUAAGUGUCCUGUUUGAUUUCAAAUCCUUCCUGGGUCUUCUAUUGCCACUGGUUUAUUUCUAUUAUUGCUGGAAAUCUCUGUUGCUGAACCUGUUGAUGUGCUGUGUUUGUUAGUGCCUGUUCACUACGGAUCCUUCAUUCCUUUGUUUCAGAAAUACCAGGGACACAAACUACACUAGUACACAAUGUAGCUGAAAGUUUGAAGCAUGAAUAAAAAAUGAUGCCUUAAUUAUUAGUUUAUUAGUUUAAUUCAUUUUUGUUCAGUAGUAGAUGGUUUUGUGUUUAGAUGUUAAUUAUUGAUUCAGUUCUGUGAUUUUGUUAUUAAAGAUUGGCUAUAACUGUUAAUUAGAGAAUAAUUUAAGAAAAUUAGAGGUAUAGUUUUGUCUUCUGAUGUUCUGAAUCAGAAUAGUGGCAGCAAGUAGGAUCGAGGGGUGUUUUAGGAAUAGAAAAUAAGGAAAUUUAGUUUGACUGUUUGGUCUAUCCUGUAGGGCCUUAACAACUUUAAUUUGAACUAGCGGGAUUAAGGGGCCACUAAGUAAUAAGUAGGGCACUAAUGAGGACAUUUCUAAGUGGGAUGUGAAAGUUAAUAGACAACUAUUAGUCGAAGAAUACUUUUGUUUUAAAUGGACAAAUUCAGGUAUGAUUACCUAUCCACAAAGGCCAAAAAUCCGAAAAAGGAAAAUGUGAUUGAGAGGAGAGAAUGGAAUAAAAAGGGAAUUUUCUUUGAAAGAAAGGGGUCAGUCGGAGAGCAUUUUUCUGAGGUUUCUUUGAAUCCGGAGAGAGAUUAAGGCUGAUCUUUAUUUAAAACUUAAGCUGGCUUGCUUUUCUUGGAGUGUUCAAAAUCAGAAGCAUUGCUUCUCUUGUAUCUGGUCCUCUUGUUUUGGUUUUGAGUGCAUAUAGUAUUACUAGAGUUCAUUUGGUAUUGCUAUUUAGCUCCCUGAAGUUGCUUGUGGUUAUUCUUGAGUGUGUUACUGAUUAUCCAUAUGCUAGCAGACCAUCUCUUUUGGGUUUGAGUACUGGUUCACCUCUAUUUGCUUUCUGGUAUUAUUGACAUACACUUGGUGUUGUUGUUUGGACUUUCUGGAAUUGCUGUUGGUUUCUUUAAGUGUCCUGUUUGAUUUCAAAUCCUUCCUGGGUCUUCUAUUGCCACUGGUUUAUUUCUAUUAUUGCUGGAAAUCUCUGUUGCUGAACCUGUUGAUGUGCUGUGUUUGUUAGUGCCUGUUCACUACGGAUCCUUCAUUCCUUUGUUUCAGAAAUACCAGGGACACAAACUACACUAGUACACAAUGUAGCUGAAAGUUUGAAGCAUGAAUAAAAAAUGAUGCCUUAAAGCCUGAAGUCUUGUAGCUGUACUCGUACCUUCUGAUGUUGUGUAUAUAUGUUAGCUAUUAGUUCACUAGGUCAUGUCAUUAAUAUUCAUGUAAAGCUGAAUACUAAUCCGUAAUAGUCUAAAUGUUAAACUCUUUCCUCGUAUGCUAGUGUUUAAAAAAGAUAGUGAUACAGUAGUUCAUGUUCUCGUCAUUUCCAGCCUAUGUUAUUUAGAAGCAUGAACAGAUUGUAGGUG
rnacentral:lncRNA from 1 species